rnacentral:rRNA from 1 species
UGGGGAAUUUUGCGCAAUGGGCGAAAGCCUGACGCAGCAACGCCGCGUGCGGGAUGAAGGCCUUCGGGUUGUAAACCGCUUUCAGCAGGGACGAAACUGACUGUACCUGCAGAAGAAGCCCCGGCUAACUACGUGCCAGCAGCCGCGGUAAUACGUAGGGGGCAAGCGUUAUCCGGAUUUAUUGGGCGUAAAGAGCGCGUAGGCGGUUUGUUAAGUCAGAUGUGAAAACUGGGGGCUCAACCCGCAGCCUGCAUCUGAAACUGGCAGACUUGAGUCUGGUAGAGGAAAGUGGAAUUCCCAGUGUAGCGGUGAAAUGCGCAGAUAUUGGGAGGAACACCAGUGGCGAAGGCGGCUUUCUGGGCCACGACUGACGCUGAGGCGCGAAAGCUAGGGGAGCAAACAGG